rnacentral:lncRNA from 1 species
GCACCUGAUUCCGCCGGGUGAAGCGAAUAAAUCACUGCGGCGGCGGGGGAGCCGGACCCAAGCCCGCCAGACGGUGGCCGCCGGGAGAACGAAAAAGUGAGAAAGAGGCAGCGGAGCCAGGAAAAAUGAUGCAGGGAGACGGCGCAAUCCUAGCCCAGGAAGAGUGAGGGGCCCGGGAAAGGGAAACCCAGAGGCAGAGAAGGGGCCAAAAUGGAAGAGGGAGAUACAGAAAGAGACAGAAGAGAACAAGAAGGAGAGUGACAAGGAAAAGCGAACGAAAAGAAAGGGAAAAUGAGGAAGGGAAAUAAGUUAAAGAAACAAGAGCGAAGA